UACGGGGGGAGCAAGCGUUGUUCGGAUUUACUGGGCGUAAAGGGCGCGUAGGCGGUCAGCACAAGUCAGUUGUGAAAUCUCCGAGCUUAACUCGGAAAGGUCAACUGAUACUGUGCGACUAGAGUGCGGAAGGGGCAACUGGAAUUCUUGGUGUAGCGGUGAAAUGCGUAGAUAUCGAGAGGAACACCUGCGGCGAAGGCGGGUUGCUGGGCUGACACUGACGCUGACAGCGCGAAAGCUAGGGGAGCGAACGGG
rnacentral:rRNA from 1 species